UACGUAAGGUCCGAGCGUUGUCCGGAAUUAUUGGGCGUAAAGGGUACGUAGGCGGAUAAGCAAGUUAGAAGUGAAAUCCUAUAGCUCAACUAUAGUAAGCAUUUAAAACUGCUCAGCUUGAGGUAUGGAAGGGGAAGUGGAAUUCCUAGUGUAGCGGUGAAAUGCGCAGAUAUUAGGAGGAAUACCGGUGGCGAAGGCGACUUUCUGGACAUAGACUGACGCUGAGGUACGAAAGCGUGGGGAGCGAACAGG
rnacentral:rRNA from 1 species